UACGAACUGUGCGAACGUUAUUCGGAAUCACUGGGCUUAAAGGGUGCGUAGGCGGUUACUUAAGUAGGAUGUGAAAUCUCCCGGCUCAACCGGGGAACUGCGUUCUAAACUGAGUGACUUGAGUAAGAUAGAGGUGUGCGGAACUUCCGGUGGAGCGGUGAAAUGUGUUGAUAUCGGAGGGAACACCGUUGGCGAAAGCGGCACACUGGGUCUUAACUGACGCUGAGGCACGAAAGCGUGGGGAGCGAACAGG
rnacentral:rRNA from 1 species